UGGUUCUGGCAUCGAUGAAGAACGCAGCGAAAUGCGAUAAGUAAUGCGAAUUGCAGAAUUCCAGUGAGUCAUCGAAUCUUUGAACGCACAUUGCGCCCUUUGGCAUUCCAAAGGGCAUACCUGUCCGAGCGUCAUUAUCACCCCUCGAGCCCCGUGCUCGGUGUUGGACGGCCUUGGUCGAGUAACAUCGACCCCUCCUAAAGACAAUGACGGCGGCCUGUGGAUCCCCCGGUACACCGAGCUUCAAAGGCGAGCACGUACCGGACGAGGGCGCCCAGGACCCGGUCCCUCUCCUCUUAAGGAGGAAAUCUCUUUGCAAGGUUGACCUCGGAUCAGGUAGGGAUACGCGCUGA
rnacentral:misc_RNA from 1 species